AUACGUAGGGGGCGAGCGUUGUCCGGAAUGAUUGGGCGUAAAGGGCGCGUAGGCGGCUUUGCAAGUCAGUAGUGGAAGUCCAUUUUUCAAGGAUGGAAGUGCUACAGAAACUGCGGAGCUUGAGUGCAGGAGAGGUUAUCGGAAUUCCCGGUGUAGCGGUGAAAUGCGUAGAGAUCGGGAGGAACACCAGUGGCGAAGGCGGGUAACUGGACUGCAACUGACGCUGAGGCGCGAAAGUGUGGGGAGCAAACAGGAUUAGAUACCCUGGUAGUCCACACUGUAAACGAUGAAUGCUAGGUGUAGGAGGUAUCGACCCCUUCUGUGCCGCAGUAAACACAGUAAGCAUUCCGCCUGGGGUGUACGGUCGCAAGAUUAAAACUCAAAGGAAUUGACGGGG
rnacentral:rRNA from 1 species